GACAAAGUAUUGCACUGUGGGCUCUCAUUAUUUUUUUUUUUUCUUUCACCUGCAGUGCUCCAUAUGGAGUUCAGUGAGAGCCAGAGGUCCUGUGAGAGCCAGAGGAGCCCCUCCACCAGGCAAGACCAGAAAGUCCAGCACCUUAUCUUUUGCUAAAAGUUUCAAGGAAGCCUCUCCUGCCAACCAUAGGAAAUUUUUACAUCAAACCGCCCCAGCUUGCCAUCCCUCUACAGAAUGUAUUCACCAACAGAAGGAAGGAACAUAAAAAAAAAAAAUUGCAUAUUUCUGUGGCCAGCUGCAGACAGAACAAGAUGUCUUCAUUCUGACAUCUCUGUUGCUCAGAUGUGCUGCUGGAUAUCUCUGGUACAUGUCUGGCAAACAGCCUUCAUGUUAGCUAAAGAUGGGCAUGGCACAACCCUUCAAUGUUGUUCCACUAAGAGUUUAUUGAAAAAGUUCAGUGCCAUUUCAAUGAAUCCAAUGCAACUUUCAGGACAUUUUGAAUCUAUCUCUAAUAUCUUCAGCAUUUUUUUUGUUGAUGUCUGUGGUGUUGUUUUCAAAUGAUGCCAUAAUGAGGAUGUCAACUUAACUCUUAUAAAUCCACUGUUGAAUCAUUCUUCUUCUCUAGUGUAGAGUAACAUUACUGAAACUCAACUAAAUGGUCUCAUACACCUCAUGCUCCCAUAAAGAACUUUACCUAAACUGAAGUCAAGGGUAUAUGGCGGACAGUCUCACAACCCUUGUCAGAAGCUGAUUUGGAUGAAAUGCUGAAAGCCAGUAUCUAGAAACCCAUUAAAUCACCUCUAAAACCCCACUAGCUCAAGUAAUUAAAUUUGUGAUUAAAGACCUGUUGCAGUCAUCUGACAGCAGCCCUUCCAUUGACUCCAGUAAGGUUUGCAUCAAACCCCUUUCUUACCUGUUUUUGUGUCUCAACAUGGAACAUGUGAAGGCCUCCAGAGUCUGAACGUGGUCUUGUACCUGGACGCAAUAAAAGCU